rnacentral:rRNA from 1 species
AUUGAACGCUGGCGGCAUGCUUUACACAUGCAAGUCGAACGGCAGCGCGGGCUUCGGCCUGGCGGCGAGUGGCGAACGGGUGAGUAAUACAUCGGAACGUGCCCAGUAGUGGGGGAUAGCUCGGCGAAAGCCGGAUUAAUACCGCAUACGACCUGAGGGUGAAAGCGGGGGAUCUUCGGACCUCGCGCUAUUGGAGCGGCCGAUGGCAGAUUAGCUAGUUGGUGGGGUAAAGGCCUACCAAGGCGACGAUCUGCAGCUGGUCUGAGAGGACGACCAGCCACACUGGGACUGAGACACGGCCCAGACUCCUACGGGGGGCAGCAGUGGGGAAUUUUGGACAAUGGGCGAAAGCCUGAUCCAGCAAUGCCGCGUGUGUGAUGAAGGCCAUCGGGUUGUAAAGCACUUUUGGCGGGAACGAAAAGGACUGUGCCAAUACCACGGUUCGAUGACGGUACCCGCAGAAUAAGCACCGGCUAACUACGUG